GUGCAUCGAACUGCCAUCUCCCCAUCCGUUUCAGUUUUUCCCCAAGCGAAUCCUACUUCCUUGCGGGUGUAUAUGGUAUCCUGUGUUGCUUACCCACGAAAUGGAAUUUGAUGGCUUUGUUGCGAUUAUCCAUCAUGUGCCCUUUAGGGUGCGGGGUGGACAUGAGGCAGGCUCUGUGUUCCCAGUGUGCAAAGUGGGUUAUCGCUUUGGCCGCUGUGGCCCAUAGAGUCUUGGCUUGUUCUCUCGGAUGCGGAAUGCUAUGCAUGGGCGUGAGGUCUCAACCUCGAUUCGUCCAAGCACUGUCCCUAAACUCGAACGAUUGUUGUGCUCGUCUUUGAACUUCCCGACCAAGGCCUCGUAAUGGGGCUUACUGGACGAGGGUUGUUCAUGCGGGCAUCGACGUCGAAGAGGAAUGC
rnacentral:misc_RNA from 1 species